rnacentral:lncRNA from 1 species
AUGUGUUAUUUCUUUUAUAAUUUAGUAUUCUUACAAUUGCUAUCUUUAAAGUCCCAGAAGCACCAAAGAAAAUUGCCAGACAAGAAAGAGUAUCCAUUGCUGUUCCAAAAAGAAAAGUGUCUCCACCACCAGAAGUACCAACAGAAGAAGAACACUGGGCUAUGUCAGAGGAAGUAUCCAUUUCUCUUCACACAGAAAAGGAGAUUUCAUACACAGUGCCUGAUGUACCAGAGAGGGCUAUUAUUGAAGAAAGAGUACCAGUUUAUCCUCCUAAAAAAAUGGCAAGACCACCAGCCAAAGUGCCUGAAAUGCGCAAGACAGUUGUCCGAAAAGAAAAAGUAUAUGUUGAAGUUCCUCAGUAUGAAGAGGAAGAAGAGAUUCCAACAUAUGAAGAAGAAGAAGCCACCAGAUAUGAGGAGGAAGUAAUCCAUUACAAGGAGGAAGUCCACCAUUAUGAAGAAGUUAGUCACUACGAGGAGGAAGUUCCUCAGUAUGAAGAAGUUCCUCAAUAUGAAGAGGAAGAAGUCACCCAUUAUGAAGAAGCAGCUGCUUAUUAUGAAGAAGUUCCUGAAUAUGAGGAGGAAGAGCCAGAAGUUCCCCAGUAUGAAGAGGAGGCUCCCCCACGAGUUAGAGGUAUACUUUAAUUUUAGGAUUUGUGUGAGAAAAAGUAGUACAUUUUAAUUCUGUUAAUAUACCAAAGUUUUGGUUUAGU